rnacentral:rRNA from 1 species
UACGUAGGGGGCAGGCGUUGUCCGGAUUUAUUGGGCGUAAAGAGCGUGUAGGCAGCCAGAUAGGUCAGCUGUGAAAACUCGAGGCUCAACCUCGAGAUGUCGGCUGAAACCAUCUGGCUAGAGUCCGGAAGAGGAGAAUGGAAUUCCCGGUGUAGCGGUGAAAUGCGCAGAUAUCGGGAAGAACACCCGUGGCGAAGGCGGUUCUCUGGGACGGUACUGACGCUGAGACGCGAAAGCGUGGGGAGCGAACAGG